rnacentral:tRNA from 1 species
AACCGCGUGGCCUAAUGGACGAGGCGUCUGACUUCGGAUCAGAAGAUUGAGUGUUCGAGUCCCUUCGUGGCUA